AUUGAACGCUGGCGGCAGGCCUAACACAUGCAAGUCGAGCGAGCGGCGGACGGGUGAGUAAUGUAUGGGGACUGCCCGAUAGAGGGUGAUAACUACUGGAAACGGUUGCUAAUACCGCAUACUAUCGGAUAACCCAUAUGGGAUUAGCUAGGAGGUGGGUUAAAGUCUCACCUAGGCGACGAUCUCUAGCUGGUCUGAGCGGAUGAAAAGCCACACUGAGACUGAGACACGGCCCAAACUCCAACGGAGGCAGCAGAGGGGAAUAUUGCACAAUGGGCGCAAGCCUGAUACAGCCAUGCCGCGUGUAUGAAGAAGGCCUUAGGGUUGUAAAGUACUUUCAGCGGGGAGGCGUUACCCGCAGAAGAAGCACCGGCUAACGCCGUGCCAGCAGCCGCGGUAAUUC
rnacentral:rRNA from 1 species